rnacentral:rRNA from 1 species
CAGCACAGAAAGAGCUUGCUCUUAUGGGUGGCGAGUGGCGGACGGGUGAGGAAUACAUCGGAAUCUACCUUUUCGUGGGGGAUAACGUAGGGAAACUUACGCUAAUACCGCAUACGACCUUCGGGUGAAAGCAGGGGACCUUCGGGCCUUGCGCGGAUAGAUGAGCCGAUGUCGGAUUAGCUAGUUGGCGGGGUAAAGGCCCACCAAGGCGACGAUCCGUAGCUGGUCUGAGAGGAUGAUCAGCCACACUGGAACUGAGACACGGUCCAGACUCCUACGGGAGGCAGCAGUGGGGAAUAUUGGACAAUGGGCGCAAGCCUGAUCCAGCCAUACCGCGUGGGUGAAGAAGGCCUUCGGGUUGUAAAGCCCUUUUGUUGGGAAAGAAAAGCAGUCGGCUAAUACCCGGUUGUUCUGACGGUACCCAAAGAAUAAGCACCGGCUAACUUCGUGCCAGCAGCCGCGGUAAUACGAAGGGUGCAAGCGUUACUCGGAAUUACUGGGCGUAAAGCGUGCGUAGGUGGUUGUUUAAGUCUGUUGUGAAAGCCCUGGGCUCAACCUGGGAAUUGCAGUGGAUACUGGGCGACUAGAGUGUGGUAGAGGGUAGUGGAAUUCCCGGUGUAGCAGUGAAAUGCGUAGAGAUCGGGAGGAACAUCCAUGGCGAAGGCAGCUACCUGGACCAACACUGACACUGAGGCACGAAAGCGUGGGGAGCAAACAGGAUUA